rnacentral:rRNA from 1 species
AUUGAACGCUGGCGGCAGGCCUAACACAUGCAAGUCGAACGGUAACAGGAAGAAGCUUGCUUCUUUGCUGACGAGUGGCGGACGGGUGAGUAAUGUCUGGGAAACUGCCUGAUGGAGGGGGAUAACUACUGGAAACGGUAGCUAAUACCGCAUAACGUCGCAAGACCAAAGAGGGGGACCUUCGGGCCUCUUGCCAUCGGAUGUGCCCAGAUGGGAUUAGCUAGUAGGUGGGGUAACGGCUCACCUAGGCGACGAUCCCUAGCUGGUCUGAGAGGAUAACCAGCCACACUGGAACUGAGACACGGUCCAGACUCCUACGGGAGGCAGCAGUGGGGAAUAUUGCACAAUGGGCGCAAGCCUGAUGCAGCCAUGCCGCGUGUAUGAAGAAGGCCUUCGGGUUGUAAAGUACUUUCAGCGGGGAGGAAGGGAGUAAAGUUAAUACCUUUGCUCAUUGACGUUACCCGCAGAAGAAGCACCGGCUAACUCCGU